rnacentral:rRNA from 1 species
GGACUACUGGGGUAUCUAAUCCUGUUUGCUCCCCUAGCUUUCGUCAUUCAGCGUCAGUUAUGGUCCAGCGCGCCGCUUUCGCCACGGGUGUUCCUGCAGAUAUCUACGCAUUUCACCGCUACACCUGCAAUUCCACGCGCCUCUCCCAUACUCAAGCACAGCAGUUUCGGAAGCAGUCUCUGAGUUAAGCCCAGAGAUUUCACUCCCGACUUGCCACACCGCCUACUGACCCUUUACACCCAGUAAUUCCGAGCAACGCUGGCCCCCCACGUCUUACCGCGGCGGCUGGCAC